AUGGACAGGACCUACAGGAUCUUCUUCUUGGUGGCAGCAGCCACAGGUGCCCAGUACCAGGUGCAGCUGGUGCAGUUUGGGCCUGAGGUGAAGCAGCCUGUGGCCUCAGUGAAGGUCUUCUGCAAGGCUUCUGGUUACAGCUUUACCACCUAUGGUAUGAAUUGGGUGCGACAGGUCCCUGGAGAAGGGCUUGAGUGGAUGGGAUGGAUGAACACCAACACUGGGAACCCAACGUAUGCCCAGGGCUAAAAGGACGGUUUGUCUUCUCUAUGGACACCUCUGUCAGCACAGUGCAUCUGCAGAUCAGCAGCAUAAAGACUGAGGACACUGCUGUGCGUUACUGUACGAGAGACACAGUGUGGAAACCCACAUCCUGA